UUCCACCAGGUUUCUUUUAUCCCUACAGUGUCUGGUUUCACUUCCUGCAGCAGUAGCUCUAGUUCCUCUAUUUUGUUACCCAGCCUCCUUGCAUUGGUGCACAGGCAUCCUAAUAACUGCUGCUGCUUGGCUUCACCCACAUUCCUCGCCCAACUGGGUACAGUCAUUCUGCUUCCAGUAUCACCUUCCUGACUGGAGGGAGGGUAGAAU